rnacentral:lncRNA from 1 species
AUGCUGUCAGCAGAGCAUUUAUCAAGCCAGCGUAUCAGGUUGAUUUCUCCCAGCAAACCCACUCCAAAGCCACGUACAGAUAACACCACUAGCAUAGGAAGCUGGUUUGGAAACCAGCCCUCCCAUGGCACUGUCAGAGGAGUACCAAGAGGCUGCAAACCUCCCAUCGGCUGCCACGCGAGGGCUGUGACACCCCCUCCUUCAGCUGCUGAGGAACUCAAUCUGUGUUGGCAAUGCCUUUCAGGAGGCAAACCGGGUGAGGUUUGGAAGGAUGCACCUCGCAGGAACAACCCAUCUCCAGGAGCAGAGGGCUGA